rnacentral:lncRNA from 1 species
UUCUAACUUCCUAGCAAUUUUAUCUUAUCAAGUCCUCCACUUACUCACGUCUCCAAUAUCCCCCCAUCUCUCUCUCUCUCUCUCCCCUCCCCCCUCUUUACCACGUAAAAAAACCCUUUCUCACCACACACCAUUGAACCCCAAACCAUAAAAACAGAGGAAGAAACCAGAAAGAAAAAUAGGAAAUCAAAUACUCACACACCUGAACCAGCAGAAGGAAGAAAAAAUCAAGGCCCGAACAAAUCGCUGCUUCCGUAUCUGCCCUAUUCGCUCAGAAGGUCGACAACAAGAAGUUGAUAACAUCGAUUAAGGUAUAUUUCAUAGCACUUUUAAAAAUUGAGAAUAUAUGAUCUUCGAUGUGAGUGUAUUUAGUUUCUAAUUCUAAAAAUUGUGUAUUUAUCAUAUUGCUCUACUUGUUUAUCCUCUCCAAAAAGUAUGUAAAAAUCGGUGAGAUUUCUUGUUCUUGUUAACCAUUGUUGUGAAGUUUGUGUUGAAAGAAGAGUGAUGGGGACUGAUGAAUUAAUGGCAUGUAUGUAUUUUCUUUGUAUUAACUAAAUUGUUGCUGCUUUAAUUCAUGCCACAUGAUGACAAAUGUACUAUCCGUUCCAAUUGAGGCUGCUUGAUUUUUUACUCCCAUUGUGGGGGUGGAGUGGGGUGGGGAGGGGGUGGCAGGUGGGGAUAGAUUAUCAAAGAAGGCAGUAAAUUAUGUGGGGAAUAGAGAUGUUGAAGAGAGAUGCCAAAGCUUUGUUGAAACUAAUAGUUAACGUCGAAGACAUAGUGACAGAAAUAAAUAAUCCAAGAAUUAUUUUAUGUUGUGUAUACCGCACAUUCUGGAAUAGUAUGAGAUCAAUAAAACUGGCAAGUGCCAUAGCCUAAUCUACUCAAUACAGGAAAUAUGGAUAGAUAACUUAAAUAAAGCUAAUGAUAGGACUAAUAUAUUCAUAACUAAUUAGCACCUACAAAGCUUUUCAUUUAGAGGAAUAACAGUAGAUUUUUCAGCCGAAUUUAACUAUCACGUAGGUAAAAUUUAGAGUUUGAGAUGAAUCUUGUCAAGUCUUGUCAAGGGGUGGCAUACAAUAAGGAGAUAGUUGAUUCUUUGCACUAGACAAGGCAAUCGUUUGAGUUUUUAUUUCUUAGCUCUCUUUCGAGUUUUUAUUUCUUAGCUCUCUUUAAAUGUGAAGUUGUCAAAAAACUGUAACAUAAUGAAGAUCAAUUAUAACUUUUGAGUAGGUCCAUCAUCUAAACACAGAUCACAAUGGAAAAUAUAACUGUGAAAACAUGCCCACUAAGGGGUAUUGUACGCGUGAUACAUCAGGAACUGCCUUAGUCUAGAUAGUUUAUACGACAAUGUAGCCUUGCCUUUUAAACUCAUGGGAAUGUGUUUUCCUUGCUGAUCUUUUUUAAUACCCAACAGCUAAACUGACAUGAAUGAGUGUGCUAUAAUUGAACAUAAGAACAUAAGUGUAUUUGACCCACUGGAUGGUAGCUUAUCAUGAAGUGACUUCUUCUGAGUCGUGCAUAAUUAACACAAAGGACUGAACGUGUCUUCCAAGGAACCUUUUCUUAGUUCCUCUGAUUGGCUCUGUCGUGAAUGGACUGAAUAACUAUCGAAACCCACCUGCUAAAAGUGAGUCACCAAAUUUAUUUUCUUCAUUUUCUUAAUUGGAAUUUAGAGCUUUGAUAAAUUUAUCUAUUAAAGAAUUUUCUAGGAGCGCGUCCUACAAGUUAUGUAAGAAUAUUUUCCAUGAGAUUGUUGGUGAUAUCAAUUAUAGUUCCCCCUCAAAAUUUUCAUCUCUCUUUGCGGAAUAGUCUACUUCGAUUACCAUCUUCUAGCUUUAACCUAUGUUGUGUUUCCUCUUUACUAGUUUAUCAUCAACAAAAUUUGAAAGUCAUAAACAAAUAGGUGUUCUCAAAAAUGAGUACCGUGGCUUCACCAUUUUGUGUAUUUUUUGAUAGCCUUAUGUUAAACCAACUUUUCCACUGCAAGUUCAUGCCAAUGACAACACCAGUUGAAAAAUUCAGAUUUAUGAGCUUGACUGAUGAAGAAUUCAUGCGUGAUUUGAUCUUUGAGAAUAUUGGUCGUAAUCCGCCUCCACUACUUUAAGAUGGCAUGAUUGGAUAAUUCAACAAACAUAUGUAAAAGUAUGAUAUCCAUGUUAGUUUGGAUUGCUACUCACUUUUAAUAGAGAUUUUUUUGUUUUUUAAUUUUACUUUUUGUUCUUUUGUUCUAUGUUGGACAUAAGGUUGUCAUUGUUUAUUUGAUUAUCUCAUAACUAUUUUUUAUUGGAAUGAAAAGAAUUAAUUCUCAUACAUGAGUAUAAAUUUGAAUUAGUGAGUUUGUUU